ACGGUAGCUAAUACCGCAUAACCUCGUAAGAGCAAAGUGGGGGACCUUCGGGCCUCACGCUAUCGGAUGUGCCCAGAUGGGAUUAGCUAGUAGGUGGGGUAAUGGCUCACCUAGGCGACGAUCCCUAGCUGGUCUGAGAGGAUGACCAGCCACACUGGAACUGAGACACGGUCCACACUCCUACGGGAGGCAGCAGUGGGGAAUAUUGCACAAUGGGCGCAAGCCUGAUGCAGCCAUGCCGCGUGUAUGAAGAAGGCCUUCGGGUUGUAAAGUACUUUCAGCGGGGAGGAAGGCGAUGAGGUUAAUAACCUUGUCGAUUGACGUUACCCGCAGAAGAAGCACCGGCUAACUCCGUGCCAGCAGCCGCGGUAAUACGGAGGGUGCAAGCGUUAAUCGGAAUUACUGGGCGUAAAGCGCACGCAGG
rnacentral:rRNA from 1 species